rnacentral:rRNA from 1 species
AAGAUGAACGCUAGCGGCAGGCUUAACACAUGCGGGUCGAGGGGUAUAGUUAGCUUGCUAACUUGAGACCGGCGCACGGGUGCGUAACGCGUAUGCAACCUACCUUUCACAAAGGGAUAGCCCAGAGAAAUUUGGAUUAAUACCUUAUAGUAUAUCGAGUUGGCAUCAACAUGAUAUUAAAGAUUUAUCGGUGAAAGAUGAGCAUGCGUCCCAUUAGCUAGUUGGUAUGGUAACGGCAUACCAAGGCAACGAUGGGUAGGGGUCCUGAGAGGGAGAUCCCCCACACUGGUACUGAGACACGGACCAGACUCCUACGGGAGGCAGCAGUGAGGAAUAUUGGACAAUGCCCGCAAGCCUGAUCCAGUUUGCCGCGUGCAGGAUGACGGUCCUAUGGAUUGUAAACUGCUUUUAUACAGGAAGAUUCACCUCUACGUGUAGAGACUUGACGGUACUGUAAGAACAAGGAUCGGCUAACUCCGUGCCAGCAGCCGCGGUGGACUUCCAAGCGUUAUCCGGAAUCAUUGGGUUUAAAGGGUCCGUAGGCGGUCAGAUAAGUCAGUGGUGAAAGCCCAUCGCUCAACGGUGGAACGGCCAUUGAUACUGUCUGACUUGAAUUAUUAGGAAGUAACUAGAAUAUGUAGUGUAGCCCUGAAAUGCUUAGAGAUUACAUGGAAUACCAAUUGCGAAGGCAGGUUACUACUAAUAUAUUGACGCUGAUGGACGAAAGCGUGGGUAGCGAACAGGUUUAGAUACCCUGGUAGUCCACGCCGUAAACGAUGGAUACUAGCUGUUGGGAGCAAUUUCAGUGGCUAAGCGAAAGUGAUAAGUAUCCCACCUGGGGAGUACGAACGCAAGUUUGAAACUCAAAGGAAUUGACGGGCCCGCACAAGCGGUGGAGCAUGUGGUUUAAUUCGAUGAUACGCGAGGAACCUUACCAAGGCUUAAAUGUAGUCUUGACCGUUUUGGAAACAGAAUUUUCGCAAGACAAAUUACAAGGUGCUGCAUGGAUUGUCGUCAGCUCGUGCCGUGAGGUGUCAGGUUAAGUCCAGCUAACGAGCGCAACCCCUGUUGUUAGUUGCCAGCGAGUCAUGUCGGGAACUCUAAGGAGACUGCCAGUGCAAACUGUGAGGAAGGUGGGGAUGACGUCAAAUCAUCACGGCCCUUACGCCUGGGCUACACACGUGCUACAAUGGCCGGUACAGAGAGCAGCCACUGGGCGACCAGGAGCGAAUCUACAAAACCGGUCACAGUUCGGAUCGGAGUCUGCAACUCGACUCCGUGAAGCUGGAAUCGCUAGUAAUCGGAUAUCAGCCAUGAUCCGGUGAAUACGUUCCCGGGCCAUGUACACACCGCCCGUCAAGCCAUGGAAGCUGGGGGUGCCUGAAGUCGGUGACCGCAUAGAGGAGCUGCCUAGGGUAGGCUGGUAACUAGGGCUAAGUCGUAACAAGGUAGCCGUACCGGU